rnacentral:rRNA from 1 species
CAUAGCGACUAUCGUGGCAUAUCAAUAAGCGGAGGAAAAGAAACUAACAAGGAUUCCCUUAGUAACGGCGAGUGAAGCGGGAAGAGCUCAAAUUUGAAAUCUUCAAGGUUCUACCUUGACGAAUUGUAGUUUAUAGAAGUGUUUUCUGUUAGUAGAGUGGCAAAAGUUCUUUGGAAUAGGACAUCAUAGAGGGUGAGAAUCCCGUAUUUGGUCAUUCUUCCUAGCGUUGUGAUACACUUUCAACGAGUCGGAUUGUUUGGGAAUGCAGUCCAAAAUGGGUGGUAAAUUUCAUCUAAAGCUAAAUAUUGGCGAGAGACCGAUAGCGAACAAGUACCGUGAGGGGAAAGAUGAAAAGAACUUUGAAAAGAGAGUUAAACAGUAGCGUGAAAUUGUCAAAAGGGAAGCGUUUGACACCAGUGUUGUUUUUCCGAAAAUCAAUUACGAAUGUUUUGUUUUUGAGGAGUUAUGACUUCAUCGGCUUGCUUCUCUCUUUACGAAACUUUCUUAAUGCACUUUUCGGUUAACAAAGUCAACAUCAAUUUCUUUUGUUGUAAAAGGGUAUGAGGAAGGUGGCUUUCUUUUCGGAGAAAGUGUUUAUAGCCUUGUAGCCUCUGCAAUCGGAGAGAUUGAGGUCUGCAGCGUAGAUCCUUCGGGGUUAGAUACAGUUUGUGCUAAGUUAUAGCUUUUCAUAGACAACUUGUUGACUAUGUUAGUCUUGUAGCUUACUCGCUGAUGCUAUUUUACCUACGCUUAGGAUGUUGACGAGACUGUCGAUCUC